CAGCAGCCACGGUAAUACGAAGGGUGCAAGCGUUACUCGGAUUUACUGGGCGUAAAGCGUGCGUAGGCGGCUUUUUAAGUCGGAUGUGAAAUCCCUGAGCUUAACUUAGGAAUUGCAUUCGAUACUGGGAAGCUAGAGUAUGGGAGAGGAUGGUAGAAUUCCAGGUGUAGCGGUGAAAUGCGUAGAGAUCUGGAGGAAUACCGAUGGCGAAGGCAGCCAUCUGGCCUAAUACUGACGCUGAGGUACGAAAGCAUGGGGAGCAAACAGGAUUAGAUACCCCUGUAGUCCCUGUCUCUUAUAC
rnacentral:rRNA from 1 species